rnacentral:rRNA from 1 species
CCUGACUGCUAUCGGAUUGAUACUAAGCCAUGCGAGUCAUUGUAGUAAUACAAGGCAGACGGCUCAGUAACGCGUAGUCAACCUACCCUAUGGACGGGAAUAACCUCGGGAAACUGAGUAUAAUGCCCGAUAGAACACUAUACCUGGAAUGGUUUGUGUUCCAAAUGAUUUAUCGCCGUAGGAUGGGACUGCGGCCUAUCAGUUUGUUGGUGAGGUAAUGGCCCACCAAGACUAUUACAGGUACGGGCUCUGAGAGGAGUAGCCCGGAGAUGGGUACUGAGACACGGACCCAGGCCCUAUGGGGCGCAGCAGGCGAGAAAACUUUGCAAUGUGCGAAAGCACGACAAGGUUAAUCCGAGUGGAUUCUGCUAAAGGAACCUUUUGUCGGUCCUAGAAACACCGACGAAUAAGGGGUGGGCAAGUUCUGGUGUCAGCCGCCGCGGUAAAACCAACACCUCAGGUGGUCAGGAUGAUUAUUGGGCCUAAAGCAUCCGUAGCCGGCUCUGUUAGUUUUCGGUUAAAUCUGUACGCUCAACGUACAGGCUGCCGGGAAUACUGCAGAGCUAGGGAGUGGGAGAGGUAGACGGUACUCGGUAGGAAGGGGUAAAAUCCUUUGAUCUAUUGAUGACCACCUGUGGCGAAGGCGGUCUACCAGAACACGUCCGACGGUGAGGGAUGAAAGCUGGGGGAGCAAACCGGAUUAGAUACCCGGGUAGUCCCAGCUGUAAACUAUGCAAACUCAGUGAUGCAUUGGCUUGUGGCCAAUGCAGUGCUGCAGGGAAGCCGUUAAGUUUGCCGCCUGGGAAGUACGUACGCAAGUAUGAAACUUAAAGGAAUUGGCGGGGGAGCACCACAAGGGGUGAAGCCUGCGGUUC